AAAGUCUGACCGAGCAACGCCGCGUGAGUGAAGAAGGUUUUCGGAUCGUAAAGCUCUGUUGUAAGUCAAGAACGUGUGUGAGAGUGGAAAGUUCACACAGUGACGGUAGCUUACCAGAAAGGGACGGCUAACUACGUGCCAGCAGCCGCGGUAAUACGUAGGUCCCGAGCGUUGUCCGGAUUUAUUGGGCGUAAAGGGAGCGCAGGCGGUCAGGAAAGUCUGGAGUAAAAGGCUAUGGCUCAACCAUAGUGUGCUCUGGAAACUGUCUGACUUGAGUGCAGAAGGGGAGAGUGGAAUUCCAUGUGUAGCGGUGAAAUGCGUAGAUAUAUGGAGGAACACCAGUGGCGAAAGCGGCUCUCUGGUCUGUCACUGACGCUGAGGCUCGAAAGCGUGGGUAGCGAACAGGAUUAGAUACCCUGGUAGUCCACGCCGUAAACGAUGAGUGCUAGGUGUUAGGCCCUUUCCGGGGCUUAGUGCCGGAGCUAACGCAAUAAGCACUCCGCCUGGGGAGUACGACCGCAAGGUUGAAACUCAAAGGAAUUGACGGGGGCCCGCACAAGCGGUGGAGCAUGUGGUUUAAUUCGAAGCAACGCGAAGAACCUUACCAGGUCU
rnacentral:rRNA from 1 species